rnacentral:rRNA from 1 species
AACGAACGCUGGCGGCAUGCCUAACACAUGCAAGUCGAACGAGACCUUCGGGACUAGUGGCGCACGGGUGCGUAACGCGUGGGAACCUGCCCUUAGGUUCGGACUAACUCCCCGCAAGGGGUGCUAAUACCGGAUAAUGUCUUCGGACCAAAGAUUUAUCGCCUUUGGAUGGGCCUGCGUUGGAUUAGCUAGUUGGUAGGGUAAAAGCCUACCAAGGCGACAAGCCAUAGCUGGUCUGAGAGGAUGAUCAGCCACACUGGGACUGAGACACGGCCCAGACUCCUACGGGAGGCAGCAGUGGGGAAUAUGGGACAAUGGGCGAAAGCCUGAUCCAGCAAUGCCGCGUGAGUGAUGAAGGCCUUAGGGUUGUAAAGCUCUGUUACCAGGGAUGAUAAUGACGGUACCGGAAGAAUAAGCUCCGGCUAACUCCGUG